GGGAGGCCGGGAGGGGUCCCUGGGCGGGGAGUUGCUGCGCAUCUGUUGUGUGUGUGCGUCUGUCUGUCUGUUCAGGUCUGUUUUAGGCUGUGUCUGCCUGUCUCUCUGUCUGGGUCUCUUUCAGGCUGCGUCGGUCUGUCUGUCUGGGUCUGUUUCAGGCUGUGUCUGUCUGUCUGUCUGGGUCUGUUUCAGGCUGUGUCUGUCUGUCUGUUUGUCUGGGUCUGUUUCAGGCUGUGUCUGUCUGUCCGGGUCUGUUUCAGGCUGUAUGUGUGUCUGCUCUUUGCUUCUGCUCCUGGCUCUGUGUGUAUUU
rnacentral:lncRNA from 1 species